rnacentral:rRNA from 1 species
AUUGAACGCUGGCGGCAGGCCUAACACAUGCAAGUCGAACGAGUGGCGGACGGGUGAGUAAUGUCUGGGAAACUGCCCGAUGGAGGGGGAUAACUACUGGAAACGGUAGCUAAUACCGCAUACCAUCGGAUGUGCCCAGAUGUGCUUAGCUAGUUGGUUGGGUAACGGCCCACCUAGGCGACUAUCCCUAGCUGGUCUGAGAGGAUGACCGGCCACACGGGAACUGAGAGACGGUCCAAGCUCCGACGGGAGGCAGCAGUGGGGAAUAUUGCACAGUGGGCGCAAGCCUGAUGCAGCCAUGCCGAUUGUGGGAAGAAGGCCUUCGGGUUGUAAAGUACUUUCAGCGAGGAGGCGUUACUCGCAGAAGAAGCACCGGCUAACUCCGUGCCAGCAGCCGCGGUAAUAC